AUUCCAGCUCCAAUAGCGUAUACUUAAGUUGUUGCAGUUAAAAAGCUCGUAGUUGAAUUUCUGGUCGUGAAAAGUGGUCCGUUCCGCAAGGAAUGUGUACUGUCUAUUCAUGUCCAUCCUCGGAGUUAGUGUGUAUUACUUUAAUCGGUCGUGCAUGCAAUACUUCGUCAUUUACUGUGAGCAAAAUAGAGUGUUCAAAGCAGGCUUAUGCCGUUGAAUAUAUUAGCAUGGAAUAAUAAGAUAUGACUUUGGUCUAUUUUGUUGGUUUGCACUCCAAAGUAAUGAUUAAUAGGGAUAGUUGGGGGUAUUCGUAUUCAAUUGUCAGAGGUGAAAUUCUUGGAUUUAUGGAAGACGAACUACUGCGAAAGCAUUUACCAAGGAUGUUUUCAUCA
rnacentral:rRNA from 1 species